rnacentral:rRNA from 1 species
CAGUCGCCGCGGUAAUACAGAGGGUGCGAGCGUUAAUCGGAUUUACUGGGCGUAAAGCGUGCGUAGGCGGAUUCUUAAGUCGGAUGUGAAAUCCCUGAGCUUAACUUAGGAAUUGCAUUCGAUACUGGGAAGCUAGAGUAUGGGAGAGGAUGGUAGAAUUCCAGGUGUAGCGGUGAAAUGCGUAGAGAUCUGGAGGAAUACCGAUGGCGAAGGCAGCCAUCUGGCCUAAUACUGACGCUGAGGUACGAAAGCAUGGGGAGCAAACAGGAUUAGAUACCCGCGUAGUCCCUGUCUCUUAUAC